rnacentral:miRNA from 1 species
GAGUAUUUCUCUCUCUCUCUCUCUCUCUCUCUCUCUCUCUCUCUCACGCACACACACACAGAGAGAGAGAGAGAGAGAGAGAGAGAGAGAGAGAGAGAGCAAAUCAUCCC